AUGCAGUCAAUUAAGCUGACCUCUCUGUUCUGUGGAACCGGUUUUGCAAUUGCUGCAAAUAGCAAGUAGCCUCCUUGGUAGCCUGUGGCCUCUAAGGGACCUUGUAGGCAGUU
rnacentral:snoRNA from 1 species